GAUGAACGCUGGCGGCGUGCCUAAUACAUGCAAGUCGAGCGAACAGACGAGAGUGCUUGCACUCUCUGACGUUAGCGGCGGACGGGUGAGUAACACGUGGGUAACCUACCUAUAAGACUGGGAUAACUUCGGGAAACCGGAGCUAAUACCGGACAAUAUUUAGCUUCGCAUGAAGCAAUAGUGAAAGACGGUUCUGCUGUCACUUAUAGAUGGACCCGCGGUGUAUUAGCUAGUUGGUGAGGUAACGGCUCACCAAGGCAACGAUACAUAGCCGACCUGAGAGGGUGAUCGGCCACACUGGGACUGAGACACGGCCCAGACUCCUACGGGAGGCAGCAGUAGGGAAUCUUCCGCAAUGGACGAAAGUCUGACGGAGCAAUGCCGCGUGAGUGAAGAAGGUUUUCGGAUCGUAAAACUCUGUUGUAAGGGAAGAACAAGUACGUUAGUAACUGAACGUACCUUGACGGUACCUUACCAGAAAGCCACGGCUAACUACGUG
rnacentral:rRNA from 1 species